AUGUACAACACGUAUGCCGGCAAGGUUGGGUUUAGUAUCAGAAAGAGCCAGACAAAACGCCGCCAAGAUCCAAGUAUAUACCAGAAAUAUAUAGUUUGCAGUAAUCAGGGAGAACGAGAAACUGAAUCAUCAAAGGCCACUACAAGAACAGGUUGUCAGGCUCGUGUUCAAUUUAGUGUCAGUAGAGAGGGGAUUUGUACAGUGCAAAAGGUUGUAACCGAUUAUAAUCAUUAUCUUGCUAGUCCCAAUAAGUUACACAUGCUGAGGUCCCAACGACGUGUUGUAGAAGCGGACAAAACGCUAAUUGGCCAGAUACGUGAAGCUGGGAUGAAGCCAUCUCAGGUGUAUGAUUUCAUGGUAGCGUUCUAUGGAGGAGGCGACAAAGUGCCAUUCUCAAAAAUGGAUUGCAAUAAUGAGAUUGGUAAGGAAAGGAAGAGGUAUUUAGAAUCCAAUGAUGCAAAAACACUGUUAGAAUACUUGAAGAAUAAGCAGAAGGAGGAUCCAACGUUUUUUUAUGCGAUUCAAGUAGAUGAGAAGGAUGGUCAGAUAGCUAAUUUUUUGGGGGCAGAUGGUCAGUCCAUUAUGGAUUAUGCAUGCUUUGGUGAUGCCGUAUCAUUUGACACCAUGUUUGAUAUCAUGAGAAGGAUGGUUGAAGUUUGA
rnacentral:rRNA from 1 species